UACGUAGGUCCCGAGCGUUGUCCGGAUUUAUUGGACGUAAAGUGAGCGCAGGUGGUUUAUUAAGUCUGGUGUAAAAGGCAGUGGCUCAACCAUUGUAUGCAUUGGAAACUGGUAGACUUGAGUGCAGGAGAGGAGAGUGGAAUUCCAUGUGUAGCGGUGAAAUGCGUAGAUAUAUGGAGGAACACCGGUGGCGAAAGCGGCUCUCUGGCCUGUAACUGACACUGAGGCUCGAAAGCGUGGGGAGCAAACAGG
rnacentral:rRNA from 1 species